CUGUCAAUCACGUGCUGGCCCUCGUGAUUGGCAGCAAAUGUGGUGGGAACGCCGGUGUGUUUUCUGAUAGUUUUGAGUACAGACAGCAGACAGUUGUUUUGGACAAAUAACCUGUAAAAGUGGAGACUGACAGCUAAAACGUCGUGGAUUUAUAGUACAACAAGUGUAUUCUAGAGCUGACGAGGACUAAAGUGGUGAAUGUCAGUACCUCGUGCACCGGCACUUCCACCUGAACGACCUGAUUCAGUGGCGCGUGUUUACUGCGAUGCUGUGACACUUUGCUGUGAGCGGAAAUUUGGGCGAAAAGAAGUCGACUACUCGGCUUUAUUUAUCUGCCCCCCCGUGGUGAUGUGCUGAGGCUAAAGGGGACCGACUCCAACAACACCUAGUGAGAGGGAACACAUCCGCAGCACACGAAGGAGAUCAUUAGCAGUCAUGCUCCUGCUCUUUGAAGUCUGUGAGGUCUGCUGUGUCUUUCAUAGCCAUGCAAAUCCAGGGGACAACCCCAGCCACCUGUUCUCAGACACAUCUGUCCACGGGCCAAAGCUCUACUCCAGCGCCGUUCAGCUGCCUCGCUCCACUCUGAUCCUCAAAGGGCCGGAGGAUGGCAAAGCAGCUAUUUUAGGGGCUUGCUUGAAAUGGUAGUGCAGACCUUAUGCUCACUAAUGAACAUACGCCACAGUAUGAGCACAGACUUUGAACAGAAAUUUGUUGCAUGUGCAAUGUGUUUUCACUGCUCAAUACUUGGGUCUCUGAUCCAGUCAGUUUCAGUCUUUAACAGCUGUUUUCAUGCCUGUCUGCAUUGAGAAACUAGUAAAAAAAAAAAAUAUAGCACAAGUGAGAAACGAAGUAGAAAAAGAUUUUCUGUCUCCCACAUCAACACACUAUAUACAAUACCAUCUCCCCAGUAUAAAAAUAUAAUCUUAUUUAUCAUAAUAUGGUGUAUUC